rnacentral:tRNA from 1 species
GCCUGGGUGGCCCAGUUAAGCGUCUGACUUCAGCUCAGAUCAUGAUCUCAGGGUUUGUGGGUUCGAGCCCCACAUCGGGCU